rnacentral:rRNA from 1 species
AUUGAACGCUGGCGGCAUGCUUUACACAUGCAAGUCGAACGGUAACAGGCCUUCGGGUGCUGACGAGUGGCGAACGGGUGAGUAAUGCAUCGGAACGUGCCCAAUCGUGGGGGAUAACGUAGCGAAAGUUACGCUAAUACCGCAUAAGCCCUGAGGGGGAAAGCAGGGGAUCGCAAGACCUUGCGCGAAUGGAGCGGCCGAUGUCAGAUUAGCUAGUUGGUGGGGUAAAGGCCUACCAAGGCGACGAUCUGUAGCGGGUCUGAGAGGAUGAUCCGCCACACUGGGACUGAGACACGGCCCAGACUCCUACGGGAGGCAGCAGUGGGGAAUUUUGGACAAUGGGCGCAAGCCUGAUCCAGCCAUGCCGCGCGCGGGACGAAGG